AGAGUAAACGCUGGCGGCGUGCUUAACACAUGCAAGUCGAGCGGAAAGGCCCUUCGGGGUACUCGAGCGGCGAACGGGUGAGUAACACGUGAGUAAUCUGCCCCUAGCUCUGGGAUAGCUCCGGGAAACCGGGAUUAAUACCAGAUACGACCACUUUAGACAUCUGUUGUGGUGGAAAGAAUUUCGGCUAGGGAUGAGCUCGCGGCCUAUCAGCUUGUUGGUGAGGUAACGGCUCACCAAGGCGACGACGGGUA
rnacentral:rRNA from 1 species